GACUGAAGCACCGACGGAUGCGCAGAUUUCUUCACGCCCUGAGCUCCGCUGCGGCUGUCCUCUGCCGCCCGGCGUCCGGGUCACUGAGACGGUUUCGGGAGUCCGGCGAGGGCAGGGUGCUGGAGAACCAGUUCUGCCCAGUGAAGUAUAACCAUGGUGCCUGCAUGAUGCUGAGCCUCAUGCUUUCAUUCAAUGUGCAGAAAAACCUAAGGAAUCAUGUCCCCAUUCACAGAUGAAGACACUGAGACAAAGAGAGAUGCUGUCCAGAUCCACAUGCUUCACAACAAAGCCAGAACACAAACCCAGGCGGCCUGACAAUGGGAUUCUGAACAAGGGAAGGACCUUCAAGAAGCUAGGGACAAAGAGAUAACAGAUGAGUCUCUGAUGCCCUCAGACGCACUACGAUGCUUACAAGCCCUGAAUCUGUGCCAGACUGCCUACGUAUCUCACAUGGUCUCAUCCCGGGCAUAUAGGUCCUCACUGAUGACACUUUGCUUCAGCUCUGUGGGCCUGACCUUGGCCCCCUCUGGAGCCUCAGGGAUGGCUGCUGCUGGGAGAACUCAAGGUCCCACUUCUUGUUCCAUCCAGGUGCAGGCAUGCAGCAUUCUACAUAAGAAUGUAGGGGAGAACUUGAACCUUCCGCCCACUGGCUUUUGCUUCAGAGGUGCUUUUGGGGCCGGAGGACCAUGAUGCCAAGACAACAGGAAAAUGGAGACCCAGAGAUACUCUCGUUGAUCAGAAUCUGAAUCACUGAGAGAGCCAACAGGGAGGCCAUAAAAUGACCCCAAGGAGAUCCUAGAGCUAAACUACUCCACACUCUUGCUCAGGCUGAGUUCCCAAGGGAGGCCUAGGGGACAGAACAUCCCACACUCUUGUCACAGUGGGCAGAGAGAGCUGACGGCGGGGAUCAAUGUAUGAACAUGAGCCAGGCAGGGUUCCAAGCCAAUCUCCACUGUUACAAGUCAACAUGGCCUUGGGCACCUCAGCUACACCUCAGCUUACCAGCCUGAAAGCUGUCCUGCCUUAGGCUUCUCAUCUGAAAAAUGGAAUAGCGUUGAGAUGACCCCAAGAAAAGUUGCAACCUACAACUGUGAAGCUCCACUUACAGACGCCACUUUCUCCCCUUGGAGACAGAUCUCUACACUGUUAGGCACCAGCCAUCCCCAUAUGUAUACCAGGCUAGUAUCCAACUUGCCACCCUCCCACCUCUGCCUCCAGAGAUCUGGAAUCACAGGUGUGCACUACUGAGUUUUCAAUGGGGUCUUGCUAUGCCACCGAGACUGGCCUUGAACUUUGCAAAAUGCUCCUGCCUCCACCUCCAGAGUGAAGAGAUCAGAGGAGUGUGCCACUGUGACAGGCCUGACUUCUAUUCUUUGAGACAGAAGCAUCCCCUACUAUAUCAGAGCUGAAUGCCCAUCAAGCUCUAAACACUGGAUCCACAGAGCCCAACGCUGACUCUGACUUCUUUUUCCUUUGGAUCUGGGCAGUGAUCCUGCUGUGGCAGCCCUCGCUAAGACUUCUGGAACAUUCCAGGCUGCAGCCCUCUCUAAGACUCCUGGAACACUCCAGGCUCUCUGUUUUACUUUCAUGCUACCUCCUUCUCUCCCUUCAGUGCCCUCUUCUUUCUGUGCCAGCCAUAUAUAUUUAGCUCCUUUAAUCUUAUUUCAUAAAUCAUUGCUGUGUGUCAAGUCCCUGCAGUGCUGCCAAAGCAUAUCUAAAAUACUUCCUUUCUGGCCAGUGCACCAAGGCCUGCCCGGCCCAUCGGAGCUGCCUCUUACCAGGACAGUCGAUAAGGAGACUGCCAGAGCAGGCUCUGGCACAGGCUGCGGCAAUUCCAGGCCCUCUCUUUGAGAGCUGUUGAAACUGCACUGGACAGUCCUGGAGGUUAUUGACGUCACAGCUCUCCUCCAGCAUCAGCAUCUGAGCUAAAAUCUGCAUCUUUUAUUUGCUGAGGAUUUUGGCCAAGUUCCUUAAAUUCUCUGUGCCUCAAUAUCCUGAGCUAAAAGCCAGAAGUCAUCAUGCAACAUGGUUCUUGCCAAGGACAUGUCAGCUGGAGACUGAAAAGCUUUUAAAAGGGCACAGAUUAGAUUGCUGUAGCCAAUCCACUUCUCUUUUCCUCCCUUUCCUGGUCUAGAAUGGGAAUGUGAUGUCUGGAGCUUCAACAGCCAUACCACACCACAAGUCCAAUUUGAGAUCCGCAGCCAUGGGCUCAGGGACAGGAGGGACCAGAGGCUCAGGAACAGAAGGGAAAGGGAGGGAGCCUGUAUCUCUUCUCCCAGGCUGCACUGUGGGGCUGCCCUACCAAACCUGGACCACCUGCCUCCAGAAUUUUUGUUGGCAAAUAAAUGAAUAACUAAACCCCUCAACUCUUCUUUUGUCAGGUUCCUAUUGCUAGCGGUCUUCCUGAUGAGUAACAACCCCAGUUAGAACUGAGUAAGAUAGGGAAGUGCUUUGCAGAGCAGAGAGGUUCCAGGGAGCCACACUCAGACUGGGGAGUCAACGGGGCAGGAGUAAAAAGCUUGCUGUCUCUCCUACCCCACCUUUCUACUUAGUGUGCAUUAAUGUGCUGUGGGGAAGAGAGGUGACCUAGUUAGGUUUUGUUUCAAGAACAGAUUCUAAGCAAAUAAAUAAAUAAAUACAAGUUUAGGAAAAGA